rnacentral:rRNA from 1 species
CCUACGGGCGGCAGCAGUGGGGAAUAUUGCACAAUGGGGGGAACCCUGAUGCAGCGACGCCGCGUGAGUGAAGAAGGAUUUCGGUAUGUAAAGCUCUAUCAGCAGGGAAGAUAAUGACGGUACCUGACUAAGACGCCCCGUCUAACUACGGGCCAGCAGCCGCGGUAAUACGGAGGGUGCCAGCGUUAUCCGGAUUUACUGGGUGUAAAGGGUGCGUAGGUGGCAGGGCAAGCUAGAUGUGAAAGCUCGGGGCUCAACCCGGGUACUGCCUUUGAAACUGUCGGUCUGGAGUGCAGGAGAGGUAAGCGGAAUGUCUAGUGUAGCGGUGAAAUGCGUAGAGAUUAGGAGGAACACCAGUGGCGAAGGCAGCUUACUGGACUGUAACUGACACUGAGGCACGAAAGCGUGGGGAGCAAACAGGAUUAGAUACCCUGGUAGUC